GCCUACGGGGGGCAGCAGUAGGGAAUUUUCGUCAAUGGGCGCAAGCCUGAACGAGCAAUGCCGCGUGAACGAGGAAGGUCUUCGGAUCGUAAAGUUCUGUUGAAGGGGAAAAAGAGCGGAGAGAGGAAAUGGUCUCCGAUUGAUAUUACCCUUCGAAGAAGUCACGGCUAACUACGUGCCAGCAGCCGCGGUAAUACGUAGGUGGCGAGCGUUAUCCGGAAUGAUUGGGCGUAAAGGGUGCGUAGGCGGCCUGCUAAGUCUGGAGUGAAAGGUACCGGCUCAACCGGUACAGGCUCUGGAAACUG
rnacentral:rRNA from 1 species